CAAUGAAGGUGAACGCAGGUCUGACGGAGGGAGUCGUCCUUUCGGCAAGACCGGCCCGUCCCAUAUCGCUUGCGUCGAUGUGGAUGGAGCAUGAGCGCAAAUGUUGGUACCCGAAAGAUGGUGAACUAUGCCCGAGUAGGACGAAGCCAGAGGAAACUCUGGUGGAAGUCCGUAGCGAUUC
rnacentral:rRNA from 1 species